rnacentral:rRNA from 1 species
GACGAACGCUGGCGGCGUGCUUAACACAUGCAAGUCGAACGGAAAGGCCCUGCUUUUGUGGGGUGCUCGAGUGGCGAACGGGUGAGUAACACGUGAGUAACCUGCCCUUGACUUUGGGAUAACUUCAGGAAACUGGGGCUAAUACCGGAUAGGAGCUCCUGCUGCAUGGUGGGGGUUGGAAAGUUUCGGCGGUUGGGGAUGGACUCGCGGCUUAUCAGCUUGUUGGUGGGGUAGUGGCUUACCAAGGCUUUGACGGGUAGCCGGCCUGAGAGGGUGACCGGCCACAUUGGGACUGAGAUACGGCCCAGACUCCUACGGGAGGCAGCAGUGGGGAAUAUUGCACAAUGGGCGGAAGCCUGAUGCAGCAACGCCGCGUGCGGGAUGACGGCCUUCGGGUUGUAAACCGCUUUCGCCUGUGACGAAGCGUGAGUGACGGUAAUGGGUAAAGAAGCAACGGCUAAGUACGUG